rnacentral:lncRNA from 1 species
UUCAAAAUCUGCAGAUAGUGCAUUCACAUAUUUUACCAACUGAAAGAAAGCAAUUUUGUACACCUCAUAAAAAGAAAAGAAGAUAGUUAUCUUUGCCUCCAAGCUCACUUACUGUAAUAGAAAUCUGUGAUUUGAAUUACUCAUAAUAAAUUGUAUAUUUAGUCCUUCAUAAUUUUGAUUCUUUUUUUUUUUGGUUGCACAUCAGAAUCACUAUUUGAGCUUUUAAGAAAAGGACAGAUAUCAGGAUUUUAACCCAGACCUACUGAUACAGAAUCUCUGAGUGUAUAGUCCUAGCAUCUUUAUUUUGUUGAAAGAGAAAUUGCAGGCUCAUAUAGGGUAAAAAAUAGCUGCUCCGUUGAAUAGGUGCUGAGUUUUUAGUUGGCCAUUGAUUUCUUUGCUUCUUAUUUCUAAACCAACAGAAGACUUAUCCUACAAUAAAUUAGUAAGAAAAAGAGAAAUAGAACUGUCUUUGGCAUUUGGCAUAUCAUGUGGUAAAUUCUCAAAAUACCAGACAUCUGGCAAAAUUUAGUUAUGAAGAACUUGAAAGAACUCGGUUGUCCACCCCCAGGAACAAUGAGUGCUUGUCUGCAUUUUCAGUGUACUCUAUAAUUAACAAGAAUAAUUUUUUAUUCUGAUGUAAAUUUAUAAAAUUAAUGAAAUUGAAAAAUUAAUAAAACAAUCAUCUAAAUAAACCCUGGGUCAGGAAGUAAUUUAAAAUGGAACAAUCUGUUCAUACUUUCAGGCCUUAAUUAUCCAAAUCAUUUGGAAUGUAUCCCAAUUUCUCUUUGUGUUCCUAAAUUGAAUAAUUCUUAAUCCUGGUUGUAUGAUUGAACUACUUAGAGAGUUUUUUAAAAAAUACCUGUGUCUGAGUCUGAAAGAAGGCAACUAAAUCAGAAUCUAAGGUUAGGGCUUACAUACCUGAUAUGUUCGAUAUUUUUUCCCUGCCAGUUCAUUUUACUAUUCAGGUGAGUCUCAAAUUUCCAUCUUGAGAGAUGGUCUAAAAACUUACUCCAUGUUUAAAUGGGAAUUGGGAAGUUGGGAAUAACAAGGAAGAAAAACCAAACAUAAAACAGAAACAUAGUCUAUUUUCUUGAAAAUAUUAUACCCCUGUAAUUAUAUGUCUUAAUUAAGAGCUAAGUAAUUCAAUAUGUAAAUAAUAAUAAUUUAAUUCCAAAGGAACCCGGAGGAAAACUAGAAAGUAUUAAAUCAGAUGAAGAGGAAUUAGAUAAAUAAGAGCCAGACCAUUGAUUUUGAAAAGAUAAAAUACUUGCACCACCCUCUGGCAAGGAUAAUGAUAAAGUGAACAAAAAAAAAAAAAGAAAGUGAAAGAAAAUAUGAACCUGAAAUGUGAACAAUUGUUUGAAAAAUCUUCAGAAAAAGAAACUGAAUCAAAGAAAAUUGUCAAUGUUAAAGUCAAUGGUAAAGUCUUUGACUUUUGAUGAUUGUAUGGGAGCUAUGUUUGCCUUGUAUCUUAGAUAUUUUACCCUUUUAAUGUUCUCUGAAUUGAACACAGGGUACAUAUGCAAUUGUAAUAGAAGUAUAUAAAUGUAUUUGUGUUUAUAUAUAUACAUGUAUAUGUGUGCAUUUAUAUAUAUUUAAUUGUUAACAAUGACUCUCUCCAGUGGGUGUUUUUUAGAAUUGGCUACUCGUGUGUUUUAUUUAUUUUCUAAAUUUAAAAAUUACUAUGUAAU